rnacentral:misc_RNA from 1 species
AGCAAGUAUUCCCUUCCUUGUAUCCAGAAUCCAAGUCUUGCACUUCCAUUGUUUAGAUAAUACAAUUUAAGUGAGACUGCAGAUUGAUCUUCCCUUACACAUCUUAUAACAACAGCUUUAUCAGAAUAUCCUUCUCGCCUAUCACGAAAUGAAUUCCGUGCCAUACUUGUUGGAUAGUUUCGCUUUGGCAAAAUUAUAAGACGAAUAACUCUCUCAAGCCCUUUCAGAAUGAAAUAUCCGCCCAUUUCUGAUGGCUCUUCCUUGUAAGCAACUAACUUCUUGGAGUCAUCAG